GAUUACAAGGGCUUUGUCACCCUUCCAAUCUCGCUGAAAGAUCCAUAAUUAGGGAGGUUUUUCCUUCAACAUACGUGCCCAGCAGACAAAAAUAUAAUUCAGACUUACAAUUGCAUGAAUUAGUUAUUUCAGUAUACCGGAUACGUACAAGCCCAGCUGUUACAAAGAGUUUAAAAAUCUUGUGUGCCUCAAAUGAGUAAAUAUACAUCAAGGCUUUUUUUUUUUUACUGGCUUGUUCGCGUUUGUGCCGAGACUACACACAAUCACACUAAGGACCUGGGUUGGAUGUUUGCUACUGGGAUAAAUACACCAAGUACAAUAAAAACAAACGGCUGACCUCGAAGAGUAGUUAUUUUUGCUCCUCUAGAAAUUAAUUCUGCAAGCAGGAGUGUACGAGCAGAUACCUAAGACAGCCAGCCUGCUUUUUGCCCUCUAACGGAGUAACGCCGAUUUACUCCUUCGGCACACAGCCUACCCAGGGGAGAAAGAAACACCAUGGAGCAGGCAGGGUGCGGGUCUCCGCCGGGCUGGGCAGGACCGGUCCCCGUGGGGCAGCCGGAGGCGGCUCCUCCGGCGCUGUCGCCCCCCGAGCAUGGCCCGAAGGCGGCCCCUUCCCCCAGAGCCCAGCCCGGCACCCGCCGCCUCCCCUCUGCCUCCCUCCAGCGGGGAAAUCCCGGCUGGAUGGGGAGAAGCCUCCCCGCUCCGGAGUGCAGGGGGAUGCUGCGAGCUCCGCCAGCGCCGGGGCCACCCGUUUCUAAAACACAGAAAUCAUUUUUCCAAAAUCCCAACAACUCAACGACAGCCGAGUGAGGAGUCGGGAGGCUGGGAGGCUCCCACGGCGCCUUCCGCAGCGGCGGGGAGCGGGGGAUGUGCAGACGUCACAGGACUGUAACAGCCUUUCCUGUUCCAGAGUCUUCUAAAAGCAAGUGGAAAGAAUGCAGGCUUAAAGCAGGCUUUUAGAUCACAUCCUCAGCCUCCACGUUUCACACGACCAGGCUCUGGCACUGAGGUGCAUUAAGAGCAAAGAGAAGAGAAACAAUAAACAACAUCCUUCCCUGCUUGCUCUUGGAAUUCAAAUGGUGAGAAGUUGCAAGAGCUCUGUGGUACUGACACACAGUCAGUGGUGUCAGCCUCUGCUUUGCAGGACCAGGGUGCAGGCUCACAUCAGAGACAGCUGUGACAUCAGAGGAAGAUUUCUUGUCAGGCCAAACUAUUACACAGAGACGUGUUUUUGCCUGCUAGGACUCAUUAGUGCUGUAUACAGGAGCAUUGGCUAUGGGUGAAGGUUGUGAUUUGGUACAAUCUGCUCUCAAUAAAUGUCUGUGAAAGUCA